rnacentral:lncRNA from 1 species
GUCAUGGCAAGCAACAUGAAGGUCAAUUUUGAGAAGUUUGAUGAAAAAAAAAACUUUUCUAUGUAAAAAGUUAGGAUUGAAGAUCUCUUGAUUCAGAUAGAUCUGGAUCAGGUAUUGGAGGAGAAGCCGGAAGGGAUGACGGAUCGUCAGUGGAUGUCCCUGGAGAAGAAGGCUUGUUUUAUGAUUAGAAGAUGUUUGGCGGAUGCUAUGCUCUAUUCGGUG